rnacentral:rRNA from 1 species
GGGUUGUGAGGUUAAGCGACUAAGCGUACACGGUGGAUGCCCUGGCAGUCAGAGGCGAUGAAGGACGUGCUAAUCUGCGAUAAGCGUCGGUAAGGUGAUAUGAACCGUUAUAACCGGCGAUUUCCGAAUGGGGAAACCCAGUGUGAUUCGUCACACUAUCAUUAACUGAAUCCAUAGGUUAAUGAGGCGAACCGGGGGAACUGAAACAUCUAAGUACCCCGAGGAAAAGAAAUCAACCGAGAUUCCCCCAGUAGCGGCGAGCGAACGGGGAGCAGCCCAGAGCCUGAAUCAGUGUGUGUGUUAGUGGAAGCGUCUGGAAAGGCGCGCGAUACAGGGUGACAGCCCCGUACACAAAAAUGCACAUGCUGUGAGCUCGAUGAGUAGGGCGGGACACGUGGUAUCCUGUCUGAAUAUGGGGGGACCAUCCUCCAAGGCUAAAUACUCCUGACUGACCGAUAGUGAACCAGUACCGUGAGGGAAAGGCGAAAAGAACCCCGGCGAGGGGAGUGAAAAAGAACCUGAAACCGUGUACGUACAAGCAGUGGGAGCACGCUUAGGCGUGUGACUGCGUACCUUUUGUAUAAUGGGUCAGCGACUUAUAUUCUGUAGCAAGGUUAACCGAAUAGGGGAGCCGAAGGGAAACCGAGUCUUAACUGGGCGUUAAGUUGCAGGGUAUAGACCCGAAACCCGGUGAUCUAGCCAUGGGCAGGUUGAAGGUUGGGUAACACUAACUGGAGGACCGAACCGACUAAUGUUGAAAAAUUAGCGGAUGACUUGUGGCUGGGGGUGAAAGGCCAAUCAAACCGGGAGAUAGCUGGUUCUCCCCGAAAGCUAUUUAGGUAGCGCCUCGUGAAUUCAUCUCCGGGGGUAGAGCACUGUUUCGGCAAGGGGGUCAUCCCGACUUACCAACCCGAUGCAAACUGCGAAUACCGGAGAAUGUUAUCACGGGAGACACACGGCGGGUGCUAACGUCCGUCGUGAAGAGGGAAACAACCCAGACCGCCAGCUAAGGUCCCAAAGUCAUGGUUAAGUGGGAAACGAUGUGGGAAGGCCCAGACAGCCAGGAUGUUGGCUUAGAAGCAGCCAUCAUUUAAAGAAAGCGUAAUAGCUCACUGGUCGAGUCGGCCUGCGCGGAAGAUGUAACGGGGCUAAACCAUGCACCGAAGCUGCGGCAGCGACGCUUAUGCGUUGUUGGGUAGGGGAGCGUUCUGUAAGCCUGCGAAGGUGUGCUGUGAGGCAUGCUGGAGGUAUCAGAAGUGCGAAUGCUGACAUAAGUAACGAUAAAGCGGGUGAAAAGCCCGCUCGCCGGAAGACCAAGGGUUCCUGUCCAACGUUAAUCGGGGCAGGGUGAGUCGACCCCUAAGGCGAGGCCGAAAGGCGUAGUCGAUGGGAAACAGGUUAAUAUUCCUGUACUUGGUGUUACUGCGAAGGGGGGACGGAGAAGGCUAUGUUGGCCGGGCGACGGUUGUCCCGGUUUAAGCGUGUAGGCUGGUUUUCCAGGCAAAUCCGGAAAACUAAGGCUGAGGCGUGAUGACGAGGCACUACGGUGCUGAAGCAACAAAUGCCCUGCUUCCAGGAAAAGCCUCUAAGCAUCAGGUAACAUCAAAUCGUACCCCAAACCGACACAGGUGGUCAGGUAGAGAAUACCAAGGCGCUUGAGAGAACUCGGGUGAAGGAACUAGGCAAAAUGGUGCCGUAACUUCGGGAGAAGGCACGCUGAUAUGUAGGUGAAGCGACUUGCUCGUGGAGCUGAAAUCAGUCGAAGAUACCAGCUGGCUGCAACUGUUUAUUAAAAACACAGCACUGUGCAAACACGAAAGUGGACGUAUACGGUGUGACGCCUGCCCGGUGCCGGAAGGUUAAUUGAUGGGGUCAGCGCAAGCGAAGCUCUUGAUCGAAGCCCCGGUAAACGGCGGCCGUAACUAUAACGGUCCUAAGGUAGCGAAAUUCCUUGUCGGGUAAGUUCCGACCUGCACGAAUGGCGUAAUGAUGGCCAGGCUGUCUCCACCCGAGACUCAGUGAAAUUGAACUCGCUGUGAAGAUGCAGUGUACCCGCGGCAAGACGGAAAGACCCCGUGAACCUUUACUAUAGCUUGACACUGAACAUUGAGCCUUGAUGUGUAGGAUAGGUGGGAGGCUUUGAAGUGUGGACGCCAGUCUGCAUGGAGCCGACCUUGAAAUACCACCCUUUAAUGUUUGAUGUUCUAACGUGGACCCGUGAUCCGGGUUGCGGACAGUGUCUGGUGGGUAGUUUGACUGGGGCGGUCUCCUCCUAAAGAGUAACGGAGGAGCACGAAGGUUGGCUAAUCCUGGUCGGACAUCAGGAGGUUAGUGCAAUGGCAUAAGCCAGCUUGACUGCGAGCGUGACGGCGCGAGCAGGUGCGAAAGCAGGUCAUAGUGAUCCGGUGGUUCUGAAUGGAAGGGCCAUCGCUCAACGGAUAAAAGGUACUCCGGGGAUAACAGGCUGAUACCGCCCAAGAGUUCAUAUCGACGGCGGUGUUUGGCACCUCGAUGUCGGCUCAUCACAUCCUGGGGCUGAAGUAGGUCCCAAGGGUAUGGCUGUUCGCCAUUUAAAGUGGUACGCGAGCUGGGUUUAGAACGUCGUGAGACAGUUCGGUCCCUAUCUGCCGUGGGCGCUGGAGAAUUGAGGGGGGCUGCUCCUAGUACGAGAGGACCGGAGUGGACGCAUCACUGGUGUUCGGGUUGUCAUGCCAAUGGCACUGCCCGGUAGCUAAAUGCGGAAGAGAUAAGUGCUGAAAGCAUCUAAGCACGAAACUUGCCCCGAGAUGAGUUCUCCCUGACUCCUUGAGAGUCCUGAAGGAACGUUGAAGACGACGACGUUGAUAGGCCGGGUGUGUAAGCGCAGCGAUGCGUUGAGCUAACCGGUACUAAUGAACCGUGAGGCUUAACCUUACAACGCCGAAGGUGUUU